CCAGACUCCUACGGGAGGCAGCAGUGAGGGAUAUUGGGCAAUGGGGGAAACCCUGACCCAGCGACGCCGCGUGAGGGAAGACGGUCUUCGGAUUGUAAACCUCUGUCUUUGGGGACGAAAAAGGACGGUACCCAAGGAGGAAGCUCCGGCUAACUACGUGCCAGCAGCCGCGGUAAUACGUAGGGGGCGAGCGUUAUCCGGAUUUACUGGGUGUAAAGGGAGCGUAGACGGUUCUGCAAGUCUGAAGUGAAAGCCCGUGGCUUAACCGCGGAACGGCUUUGGAAACUGUGGAACUGGAGUGCUGGAGAGGCAAGCGGAAUUCCUAGUGUAGCGGUGAAAUGCGUAGAUAUUAGGAGGAACACCGGUGGGGAAGGCGGCCUGCUGGACUGCGACUGACGUUGAGGCCCGAAAGCGUGGGGAGCAAACAGGAUUAGAUACCCCGGUAC
rnacentral:rRNA from 1 species